rnacentral:rRNA from 1 species
GGCUUUUUGCAAAAAUAAAAAGUCUUACCUGCACACUGAACCCUAAAGAGCUGCAGUAAUUUAAACUGUACUAAGGUAGCAUAGUCUUUUGCCUUUUAAUUUAAGGCUUGUAUGAAAGGUGUGACGAGAUACACGCUCUAAAUUCACAAAAUAAUUUAUUUUUAGGUUAAAAUACCUAAGUAAAUUUAAAAGACGAUAAGACCCUAUAAAAUUUGACUUAUUAUAAAACCAGGUUAAAUUUUAUUUUUAUAAGUUUAACUGGGAUAGUUAAAAUAAUUAAACUACUUUUAUUAAAACGUUAUAUUAACGAAAUUAAUAAUCUUAUAAAAAAUAAAUUACUUUAGGGAUAACAGUGUAAUUCUUUUUAAAGCUCAUAUUUAAAAAAGAGAUUGCAACCUCGAUGUUGAAUUAAGAAAUCAUAAUAACGUAGAUGUUAUUUAUGAAGAUCUGUUCGAUCUUUAAU